rnacentral:lncRNA from 1 species
AUGGGUGUUGUUCCCCAGCCUGAAGUUGAAGACGCUGUCCCAUCCACUGACCUCCACUAUGUCGCUUUUGGCCCCAGCCUGCUCUGUGAUGUCAUCCUCUGGGCUCUUGGCUGCACCAGUCUGGGAAUCCAAUAUGGCCACCGUGUCUCCUCUUUUAGCUUCCAGCAAACCACCUACAGGCAAAUGUUACAAUCCAGACUUAACAAACAUGACAACAGAACAAAAAUCAUAUACAUGGAUUUUGUGUGUGUUAUUUGCCUGGUGAUAUGAUAUGACUGUCAUGUUGAUAUACAUAGUAUUGUUUGUUUUUGAAUUUCAUACUAAUUGUAUUGAUAUUGUUUUAGAAAUAAAGUACUCAUAAGGUUUCAUAUGUGUUUAAUAAAAACAUUUGUCAGGUGCAUCACUAUUCCCAUUGAAGAUCUAUUACUGUAUGUAGGCUAUAGGUAUUUCUCUCUUACCUUGCUCCCCCAUCUUUAAUCCACUCAGCAGGUCAAUGCUCUCUGGUCCGUCUUCUAUUGUCUCCUCUUUGACCAGCAGCAGAUCAGGCUUCCCAUCCUCCAUGUCUACUGACUGUAAGAGAUACAGAGUGAGAGGAUGUUGGAUCAAGAAAUCUGAUAUGAGCACCCUGCUAUGGAGCAUCUUCUGAUUGGACAAUGAGGGAUUGCUAUGAGUACUAUGUAAACAUGUUAGUUGACUUGAUUACCUGACACGUAAAUGGUUGGAUAAUUCAAAUGCAGGGUCCCACACUUAAAACAAAAUUAAUCAACAUCUGGGCCUGUAUCCACACAGCCUCAGAGUAAGAGUGCUGAUCAUUCCAUUUAAUCAUAAUUAUGACCUAAAAGGCUAAACUGAUCCUAGAUCAGCACUCCUUCUCUGAGAGGCUUUGUGGAUACGGGCUCAGACCUAAUACCAUUCAGACAGUAGUUCACAGUGGGCUCACCUCAGUGAGACUGUGCGUGGUCCUGUGCUGCUCAGCUGGUUUCUCUGUGGGUUCAGGAGGAGGUGUAGGCUGGUUGUCCUCCAUGACCAUGGUCCCCUCAGGGUUCCCCAGACCCUCCUCACACCCCUCAUCCUUCACAAGCAGCACCUCUGGACCCUCAUCCUGGAAGAGAGGUGAUACAGAUUACAGACAUACACUCCCUCAGGUACGUACACACACACACACACACACAGAUAAUAUAACACUUUCAACAUGGAGUGUUUACCCAUCCCCACUGUUUGUAUGUAUGAAGGAUCCCCAUUAGCUGCUGCCAAGGCAGGUCCUACACUUCCAGGGGUUCAGCACAAUUAAGGCAGUUGUACAAUUUUGAAAACAUUACAAUACAUUUCACAACACAUUAAGCGUGUGCCCUCAGGCCACUACUCUACUACCACAAAUCUACAACACAAAAUAAAUGUUAUCAUGUUUGUGUGUGUGCAUGUGUCUACGUUUAGGUCCUAUACUGUAGUUACAGAAUGACUUCAUUGUUAAACCCAUCAUGGUGGACAAACAGUAAAUAUGGUGUGGGUGAAUAGUCAGCUAUGAUAAGUCAUCAUCCGACAAUACUAAACUAUUUUGAGGUGUACAGUGGGUGUUUGCUAGUGUGUGGUUAUGUGUAGGUAUAUUUAGUAAGUAGUCUGGUUAUAAUGCUCUGUCGUGGGUAUGUAGAAUAGGGUGAAAUCAGGGGCCGUAUCCACAAAGCCUCUCGGAGGAGUGCUGAUGUAGGAUCAGUUUUGCCUUUCAGAUCAUAAUGAAUAAGAUGAUGUAGACAGGUCGGGGCCUGAUCCUCGAUCAGCACUUCUACUCUAAGACUCUUUGUUGAGCCGGUAUCCACAAAAGGCUCUGAGUAAAGUGCUGAGAAUAGAUACAUUACAUUUUACUCCUACUCUAAUGGGUAAAAAUAAAAGCGAUGAAUGAAGCUACUUUAGUCAUAACAGUCCCACCUAGUCGACAGAUAUUUAGGAAACCACACGAGCUGUCCUAACCAGUUAAGAGUUAUCAGCAGGUUUACUGGUGAUGAAGCGAGUCAAUGGUUCCUGUGCCACAUGCAAUUGCUUUGGAGUUGUUCAAAUAAUGUUUGGAUAAUUCUAUAGGAUCAAUCCAUAAAUAAUCUAGACCUACAUGCAACAGUAACUCUUGCGCUUUUGACAAUGAUUUCUCAUGAUAUGCCUAAAUGCUUAUAAAGACUAGACGAAAUAAAUAAACACGUUUUUCUUUCAAUUAUUUAAUUACCUACAUAAUGCUAUUUCAUGUUAUCCCGUCGGAGCGCAACAUCACGUUGUAAAAAGAAAAAGCCUAAAUAAGGGAAUGCUGGUAAAUUGGGCAACUGAAAGCAUCUAAAGCUUAUGUAAACUUUGAUUGUGUCCGAUGAAAAUUCUAGAACUUUCAAACGUAUGCAACAUUAUUGGCAAGUGAUUUGAUAAACGGGAGUUAAAAGUUGUUAAAGGGAAGUGACGAGGGUUGGUAACAGUAUAAUGGUAAUAUUGUCAAAAUUCAGUUAACAAUAAUCAGAAUUUGUAAAAAAAAAAGUUCUUUAUGCCAACAUAUUAGGCUAUAAUUAAGAGAAGGCAACGUGAUCGUGUCAGGAGAAAACUAUAUCAAACGUUUUACCAUCGCAACAUUUGAUGUACAGUCACAUUCACUGUGGAUGUAUGAAGCGUGCUAUACAGUUCACAGCUGGCGAUGCCUCAUUGGUUAUUCCCUAUCUUUUGCAACAAUGUCAAUGAGCGUCAUCACUAUCUUCCCUUUGCAGGAUGUCGUGACUAUCAGUUGAGAUAAACUUUUAUGAGUUGAUUUUACUCCUGGCUCAGAGUUUGCCCGGGCAGUGUCUUCAAAUCAAAUUGUAUUUGUCACAUGCGCGGAAUACAACAGGUAUACAGUGAAAUUCUUACUUUCAAGCCAUUAACCACCAAUGCAUUUUUAAGAAAAAUACGUGUUAAGUCAAAUAUAGUUAAGUAAAAAAUUAAUAAAAGUAACAAAUAAUUAAAGAGCAGCAGUAAAAUAACAAUAGCGAUGCUAUAUACAGGAGGUACUGGUACAGUCAAUGUGUGGGGGCACCGGUUAGAGUUAGUUACUAUGCAUAUAUAAUAAACAAAGAAUAGUAGCAGCUUAAAUGGGGGGUGGGGGGGGGGGGCAAUGCAAGUAGUCUGGGUAGCCAUUUGAUUAGCUGUUCAGGAGGCUUAUGGCUUGGGGGUUGAAGCUGUUGAGAAGCCUUUUGGACCUAGACUUGGUGCUCCGGUACCGCUUACCGUGCGGCAGCAGAGAGAACAGUCUAUGACAAUUUUUAGGGCCUUCCUCUGACACCGCCUGGUAUAGGGGUCCUACAUGGCAGGAAGCUUGGCCCCAGUGAUGUACUGGGCCGUACGCAAUCUCUCUGUAGAGCAUUGCCGUCAGAGGCCAAGCAGUUGCCAUACCAGGCAGUGAUGCAACCCGUCAGGAUGCUCUCGAUGGUGCAGCUGUAGAACU